rnacentral:rRNA from 1 species
UACGUAGGGUGCGAGCGUUAAUCGGAAUUACUGGGCGUAAAGCGUGCGCAGGCUGUUUUGUAAGUCAGAUGUGAAAUCUCUGAGCUCAACUUAGGAACUGCGUUUGAAACUACAAGACUAGAAUAUGUCAGAUGGGGGUAGAAUUCCACGUGUAGCAGUGAAAUGCGUAGAGAUGUGGAGGAAUACCAAUGGCGAAGGCAGCCCCCUGGGAUAAUAUUGACGCUCAUGCACGAAAGCGUGGGGAGCAAACAGGAUUAGAUACCCCAGUAGUCC